rnacentral:ncRNA from 1 species
AUAAUUGCAGUGACGGAAAAGAGUAGUUAGUCAACUCUAUAAAAGCGAACCUAGGACAGUGUAAGCUAGGGUAUAGGGCACUAACGAAGGCGUUCUUGAGCAAUCAAGUGUUGUAAUAACACAACUUAAAGAGGCUGCUAUCAUGGCAGCAAAUAGGGUGGAACCGCGGGUAACUCUCGUCCCUAUG